rnacentral:tRNA from 1 species
GAUGAGGUGACUGAGUGGUUAAGGUGAUGGACUGGUAAGCCAUUGUUCCCAACAUAUCGUGUGUUCAAAUCCCCUCCUUGUUG